ACAUUUUUUAAACUAAAUGACCGAGUGUAGAAGUGUUGUUUCUCUCUCUGCUGGAGUGUGUGUUCACUCGAGUGGAAUAGAGGUUUUUGUACGAGUGUUUCAUUAGAUUGGAUCACUGUGGUGGACUUUCGGUGGAGGAACUAAACUGGUGCUCGCUGGUCCCACAGUGAAGCCCUCAGUGUCUCUGCUGCCGCCCUCUUCUCUGCAGAUCUCUGGAGACUCAGCCGCACUGCUCUGCCUGCUCAGCUCUUACUCUCCACAGGGGGCGCUGGUGAGCUGGACACUGGACGGCUCAGAGGUCACCGAGGGGGUUGUGACCAGCGCAGAGAGCGAGCAGGACGGCCGCUACAGCCGCAGUAGUGUCCUGACCCUCAGCAAAGCACGCUGGGAAGCGGGAGAGCAGUACGUCUGCAGAGUAACACAUGAUGGAGCUCCUCAUGAAGCCUCGUUCCACAAGAGUCGCUGUUAGUCGCUCGCAGUGCUGAUGUUUCUCCAGUGAGCGCUGCUCUCUCCUGAAGAUGAGCGUAUCUGAGUGUCCUGUGUCAGGCAGGAUUCACAUGAGUCUAGUGCUGCAGCUGUAGUCAUUUACAACUCAAUACUGAAAGAGAGCUCUAGUGUCAAAGCACUGGCUGAUCUUUCAAUCUGCUGUGUUUGCUGCAACAUUCAAUAAAGCUUCUCAACAAACUC